UGCAUGUAUAUAUGAGCAUGCUACAGUUGGUGCCCCCGUUCCAUCAUUCAUAUUUAUUUUUUGAUGGCUACAGUUGGUGCCCCCUGAGAGGGAAGUUACUGCUACAAGUGGGUGUAUCCGUAAAUUUUCAUUCUUUGAAAGGCUCAAGGGAUGGAAUAUCGAGGUUAGGCAAAGACAAACUGGACGUGCCCUCGACUCGUAUUUCUAUCACGAGAAGUUCAACAAAGUUUUGCGAUCCGUUAUAGAGGUGGUAGGUUUUAUCCUCUAUGAAGAUCCAACGGCUGUGAAAUCUGAAAAGAGAAAGGCAGCAUCGACUUUACCAAAGGAAGAAUCCAGUAACAAAAGAGUCAACGUGGAGAUGAAACAAAGUGAGGAUUUCAAUAUCCAAGAUGGCAAUGAAUUAACUAUAUAUUGAGGAUAUUCCAAUCUGCAGAGACUUGGAUGAACUUAAAGCUAAUUUGGUUUGGUUCCGAAGUGGGCAAAAAUAGAUUGAGUAGGUGUGCCCCAAAAGUUGUAGAUCAAUUGAUCAUAAGUGUUUCUGUUAGGAGGAGUUUUCAAAUUAAUGGUUAUUUCUAUUAAUGUAAGUUACUAUAUUUAGAUGCAUACA